rnacentral:lncRNA from 1 species
AUCCACACACACCUGAAAAGGUAUUAUACCAAAACACCUUGCUUUUUUUGUUUUUAUUUUUGUAAAAAUGGUUUAUUCCAUGGCCAUUGUAAAAAAUAAUGACCUGAUGAGUAAAUAUUGGCUUAAGGCAUAUAGCAGAGCAGCUCGCUACCUCUCUAACAUAAUGUAUAACAAGGUGGAGAGCCAGCUGCUCUCCAAGGAUAGGAGGUUAAACCAGUACGUCCAUUUUGAAAUGCUACUAUAUAUACACACCCAAACUACUACAUACAUAUACAGGACUUAAAAACAACAAGCCCAGCUCAGAAUGCUUACAGCCUGGCACCUAAGCCCUAUCCACACCUCACCACAGCUCUGCAGGGUGACACCUCGAAUGUUCCCACCACAGAAUUUCUCUGUACUGGCUUCUACCACGAGAAAGGCAAAAUGUGAAAAUGCUGGCAAGAGAGUAGCUCGGGAGCUACAGCUGCCGUGUUUUUCAUGUUAAAAAGCCACUUAAUGUGGAGGUCUUCAGUUCCCUUUGCAGGAAGAGUCGUGAGCACCAUCAGGCCCCACAGGGUUUGAGGGUGGGGCAGACGCGCCUCUCUCGGCAAGGUGAACCGGGACGGAGACGGCGGCAGGCUGCCUAAAGGACCGUCACCCAGGCUGUUUCAAGAAGUGUGGUUUCCAGCAGUUGCCUCUCUUCCAAAUCACGGUCUGCUCAAGAAGAGUGUUGACUUGGAAUGGCGGAGGCUGAUCCCAAAGGUGGGGGGCGGGGGGUGUCCCUGCUUGCCUAAAUCAUGUCCAGAGUGUGAGGUGUGAAUAUGGCUUCCCAUACCCUUGGAAUGUCUGAGUUACAGCAAGACCCUGCUGUACCAGGACAGGCUGGGCCUCACCAGGAAGUCACUAGAGUGUCAUGCCAGGAAUUAGGCAAAUGCCUAUUCCUGGAAAACUGCACCCUAUUGCUGAGCGACAAUGACUUCAGCAACAGGCUUAGGAACCACAGCCAUGUAAUGAUCACGUCAUGCACAGGCAGGUGGACUUGGACAUGGGGCACAUUAGUAAGCAGAGAUCAAAUUUCUCAUUUCAAGCACAUAUUUUUCAUCAGGACACAAGAAGACCUUACAUGCAUUCUAAUACACACGGGGGAGCAGUGAUUGAGAACUAGAUCUAGCAGAUAACAGGGAGGAGAAUAAGCGGGACAAAGUAAUCUCACAUCAUGUUUCUUAUUAAAUACCCACGUGUUCAUUAUAUAUUAUAGCAUUGUUCUAUCUUCUCACGUUACCCACAAUAUCACUAAAUAACAACUGCUUACAACCGUCCUCCUUCCCAGUACUGGUCUGACGCAGCAGGCCCAUGGCAAAGUCUUCCAUUCCCAGUACUACCUGAGGAUUUAUUAUUGUACUUUUUGAUAAAGCCCUUGAUGCAAGGCUGACAUCAAAAAAUUUUAAUACAUUAUUGGUUCAAGAAAAUGCUAGUGCACUAUGGAUGCCUUUGGGGAAAAAUUUGUUUAAAUAAAUAUGGAGUGGAGAGUUGCUCCCUGCAGAUUCAAGGGGGGGCUGUUGGCGUGCCGCCCGCCUGGGAUGCUCCAGGAGGGAGCCCUGGGUGGGGCGAGCCCCGAGACGGGUGCAGGCCCCUUCCGUCUGCGCCGCCAGCAUGGUACUCUCUUUCACUCUCCUCAAAAAAUGGCUUGUGGAUUUGGUACUCAAAGUGGAAGGGGCAAAAAGUAAAAGGAUGAGGGGUGAGACACACAUCCAGGGAAGAUGGGUUUUAGUGCAAAACCAACGUCCGUCCGGGGCCCGGCUCUCUACGCGGUCCGGUGGCCCUUACCUACCGCGGCAUGCCUGCUAGUCGGGCGUGGGCUCUGCGGGCAGAGGCGGACAGUGGGUGGAGGUGGAGUGAAGGAGGGUCAGGCUAUGUGUUGCUGUUGAACAGGAACUGGAAUGAAACCAAACAGUUCAGAUGAGCCCAGACCCGCACCCGCAGAGCUGUCGCCUCAUGCAUGACCCCGGCCACACCCCCCGGCAACUUCAACCUCCGAGGGAGCAAAGGGGGUUUUGGUUUUAUUUUUUACAGUAGCCCCCUCUCCCCAAAAAUCAUCCCCAAGGAAAAAAUUGUUUGCAUUUUGCAAAACCAUCUGAUGUACUCAGAUGGCCACCUGGAAAGAGGUAAAAUAUUUAAAACGACGAAAAAGUCUUAGGAGGUCAUUUCCAUGGCCAGAGCUCUGAGGCUAGUCCUCUCUCUUCCCCUUACUUAACAGCAACACACGUCUAACGUGUGAAUUUCUGCUGAAAUGGCACUUCUCCCAAUGAGGUGGAGCCCACUCCUCUGAAUUAACAGCGGGUUGACAUGCCAAUGGCCACCCUGUGGUGACCUCUGACCCCCAGGCAGAGGCCUCGAGGACACCCAUUUAUGGGGAUGGGGUGAUGAGGGCUGGUACAUGAGCAAGAUGGCUGUCACAGGAGGGAGCAAUGGAGAAAGGACAAUGGAAACCCAGCAGGGACACCCUGAGCAGAAGCAGAGGCAGGUUCUGUUUUUCUAGACGGCCUUUUGUUGCUGUUCUUCUUAUAGCGGGAAAGCUCAAAGACCCUGUCCUGGCUCAGUGUGCACACAGCUGAGGGGGGCUUGAGCGCAACAGCGUCCUAACCCUCUUCUCCAAGGGAGUUUACAUUCGUAAAAGUUUGGGAUUCCUUCCCUGGGAAAUCAAAUAUAAAUUAUAUGGCUGAUUACAUCACCUAAGGGUAUGAGAAAGUUUCAUAAGUGCCUACUUGUUUUUUUUUUGUUCCAGAAAUAACAAAAAGCUGCUUUUUAUAAAGGUUAAAAACAACAAUGUGUUGUAAUUCUAUUUUUUUCCAAAAACA